AGGAGGAAAUAUGUGGUUUGCUUUUUUAUUUUUAGUUUUAUUUUUUUAUUUAUUUUUUUAUUUACUUAUUUAUUUUUUACUUAUUUUUUUGUUGUUGUUGUUGUUAUGACUUGUCAUUUUGCCUAAAGGUGAGAUAUUUGUCUUGUGAAACAUUGCAGUUGCAUGUUGAGUUGCUGGAAUUAAUGUUUUUAAGUCAUUUAUAUAAAUAAAAGGGAGGGGGAAAAAAAAGAAUGUGGAUAUGUGAUGAUUUUCAGUAUGAAGAAAAUGUUAUAGCAACGCCCCUCUGAGGAACGUCACUUACUAAAAGUGAAAGCAAAACUGCACAGCUUUUAUAUUUCAGUACACCAGCCCAUGACUGCAUUUGUGCAAAACUGCAACUGGAGCAAGAAUGGCUUUUCAGGUUUUAAUCCGCUUUAGUGAUAAGAAAGAUACACCAUUAACUGUAGCAACUUCAAGUGAUGAAUUUGAGAAAACCAAAAUUCAAGAAAUAAAAGAAAAAUUCAAACGGGAAAAUCCAGGAGCAACAGAAAUAGACAGAAUACGAGUGGUUUUUGGAACACGUCAGCUGGAGGAUGACAAAACACUUGGGUUUUACAACAUCACACAUUCAAGUGUUCUUAUAUUUGUGAUCAGAAUGGAUGGUGGUGGAGGAGCACCUGAAGAUGAAGAUAAAAGAAUACCCAGGACUGAAUCAAUGGAAAGAUUAGCUGAAAUGCAGCAGACUGAGCCAGAUCUCAACAGAUCAUGUCUGAUUAUGUAGUUCAGUUCAGCCUCAUAUAAAUCCAUACACUGUGGGCUCAUCAGUGUAAUAUCAUUUACAAUUACUACCAUAAAAUACACUGGCACAUAUUCUCUUCUGAUUUCAGCCUCUUAGAGUAAAAGAGUUCAUAACAUAGAGGUCACAAUGAACUGAUCACCUGUACCAAAAACCCAGUGUAUAGUUAAAGAGUCAGCAGUUAACAGAAUAAUAACCCGUCCAUAAAGAACACAGAUUCACUCUGUCUCAGGAGAUCUCAGUGAUGACUGAAACCUUUAUUACGAGCAUUUCUCAUGUUAAGGGGCCAAUUAUAAAUUCUCUUGUGUCACAAAAUAUUUUACUGAAGAGGCUGAAAUCAGAACAGAAUACAUGAUAUUGAAUUUAAUGGUAGUAAAUUUGAACAAAAUAUGAACAACAAUGUUUAAGGCUCCAUUAAUAAUCUUAAAACUGACCCUUUAUUCUGUCACCAUAAAAUAAAGUAUCUCAUGCAUAUUUAAUAAUAAAGUGU
ensembl:lncRNA